rnacentral:lncRNA from 1 species
GGUUGUAAAUGUCUUAAAAUCCUUAUUGUCAAAUCUUGAUGAAGUAAAGAAGGAAAGAGAGGGUCUGGAGAAUGACUUGAAAUCUGUGAAUUUUGACAUGACAAGCAAGUUUUUGACAGCCCUGGCUCAAGAUGGCAUGAUAAAUGAAGAAGCUCUUUCUGUUACUGAACUAGAUCGAGUCUAUGGAGGUCUUACAACUAAAGUCCAAGAAUCUCUAAAGAAACAGGAGGGACUUCUUAAAAAUAUUCAGGUCUCACAUCAGGAAUUUUCGAAAAUGAAGCAAUCUAAUAAUGAAGCUAACUUAAGAGAAGAAGUUUUGAAGAAUUUAGCUACUGCAUGUGACAACUUUGUUGAACUUGUAGCUAAUUCGAAGGAAGGCACAAAGUUUUACAAUGAGUUGACUGAAAUCCUGGUCAGGUUCCAGAACAAAUGCAGCGAUAUAGUUUUGGCAUGGAAGACAGAAAGAGAUGAACUCUUAAAGCCUGAGACCUGGGAGGAAGCUGGAGAAAAGAUGCCCUCUGAAUCUUUGUGUUUGGCUGCCC